rnacentral:rRNA from 1 species
AUCCUUUGGUUUUGGGGAAAAUAAAAAACAAGUGGACCUUCUAAUACAUGCUAGUGCAUGCUAGUCUGCGCUCCCCUAUAGUGCCCCCCCACAGGUGAGGAAACCCGGCUACCCCACCCCCAGGCUUUGUAGGGGGCUGGGCCGGAUACGUAUUAGGUAUGAGGGCGGUAUUAAAAACCCACCCUGCCAAAAAUGCGCGACAAUCAACCCGAAGUCACACUUUCACUGGAACAAGGGGAAGGCUCUUUAAGUCCGUCAGGGACAAGGCACCAUUAAAAAAUAUUGGGCAAUAUACGGCAGUAUGACACAAAGAGCACACGCCCUCUUGGCCUGUCCAACUAAGUGCCAGCAGACGCGGUUAGACUUAGGGGCCAAGCCUUUAUGAGCAAAGGGGCGUAAAGGGUGUGUAGGCCGACUGCCCCCCCCCCCAAGGUGGUAAAUGGAAUUUUUCUGUAGCGGUAGAAUGUGCGGAUAGAAAAUAGAACUCCAAAAGCUGAAGCAAUUUACCGCGGGGUGGGAAGGGGGGGCCCCUUGGGGCGCUCUGCCCUCGGGGCGCCCCCCGGUCACGGGCUGAAACACGAGGGUGUGGGGAACAAACAGGAUUAGAGACCCUGGUAGUCCACACUGUAAACGAUGGAGAAAAUGCGAAUGCAGUCCCGAAAGGCAGCAAUCUCCCGCCUGAGUAGUACGAUCGCAAGAUUAAAAUUCAAAAAAUUUGGCUGUUCACCGUUUCAAUUAGAGGAGCGUGUAGUUUAAUUCGAUAAACCGCGAGAUACCUUACCCAAACUUGAAUCCUUGAGGAUUCUAAUGAUCCCAGUUAUGAUGACCGGUAUUGCAUGGCCGUCGUCAGUUCGUGUAUGAAACUUAAAACGGACCCAACCCGAAGAUUAACCGCGGAUGAAGUCAGGUCUUAUGGUCCCAAUGUUUGGGGAUAAUAUGCGCUACAUUUUCUUAUACAAUGGGAAACCUGGGAGGUGAAACCCCAAAGUGAGAGUUCGGUAGGCUAUUGGAAGAUGGCCGAAAGUUGAAUUUAAUAGUAAUCGGAAAGUAUAGCGUUCCGGUGAAAUGGUCUAGGUGUUAGCACAAAUCGCCCGUCACCUUAACUUAGGAUGAUGGUUCGGACGCCGCCGCCCCCGGGCCCCGGCGGUUACGGGCCCCUACGAAGUUAAGCAAGUCGUAACAUAGUGAGGGGAGGGGAACCUCCCCUUG